CAGCCGCCGCGGUAACACGAAGGGGGCUAGCGUUGCUCGGAAUGACUGGGCGUAAAGGGCGCGUAGGCGGCGAUCAAAGUCAGGCGUGAAAUUCCUGGGCUCAACCUGGGGGCUGCGCUUGAUACUUGGUUGCUUGAGUGGGGAAGAGGGUCGUGGAAUUCCCAGUGUAGAGGUGAAAUUCGUAGAUAUUGGGAAGAACACCGGUGGCGAAGGCGGCCCGCUGGACAUGUAUUGACGCUGAGGUGCGAAAGCGCGGGGAGCAAACAGGAUUAGAUACCCCAGUAGUCCCUGUCUCUUAUAC
rnacentral:rRNA from 1 species